GUUUUUGUUUUUCUUCGACUACUGAGUUCUCUCUCUCUCUCCCUGUGUGUGUGUGUGUGUGUGUGUGUGUGUGUGUGUGUGUGUGUGUGUGUGUGUGUGUGUGUGUGUGUGUGUGUGUGUGUGUGUGUGUGUGUGUGUGUGUGUGCCCUCGAAACUUGUGUGCAUGUGAGAGAACGCAUGGUGAUGCAGGAGCACCAAACCUGCGGUUAUCUGUCUCUUCCAUUACUCACCAGGGCUUGGUGAGUUGUUCAAUAUUUCAUCAUUGCUGGUGGUGCUGAGUUCUACCAGACAGGUGAGGCCUAGUUUUUUUCUUUUCUUUACCUGAGGCAGCUGAAGGUUGCCUGGUAAAAUGAAAACAGGAGCACAAGAAAGUUUUCCAAUAACCAGUGUUGAAAAAGCAGAAACAAACUUCUUUUUCACCCAGAUUACAGAAGAAGGGCAGCAAAUGUCACACUGAUCAAGGACAUCCAAGCAACGACAAGUCAGUUGAUAAAGUUUACCUGCAAGUCAGCAGCAUCAAGUCAACCCC